GGGCCCGCACAAGCGGAGGAACAUGUGGUUUAAUUCGAUGAUACGCGAGGAACCUUACCCGGGCUUGAAUUGCUGAGGAAAGAUCCAGAGAUGGUGAUGCCCUUCGGGGCCUCAGUGAAGGUGCUGCAUGGUUGUCGUCAGCUCGUGCCGUGAGGUGUCGGCUCAAGUGCCAUAACGAGCGCAACCCCUGUUUCCAGUUGCCAUCAGUUGAAGCUGGGCACUCUGGAGAGACUGCCGCCGCAAGGUGAGAGGAAGGCGGGGAUGACGUCAAAUCAGCACGGCCCUUACGUCCGGGGCUACACACGUGUUACAAUGGAAGGUACAGAGGGAUGGGGCGGCGCAAGCCGUGACGGAUCCCGAAAGCCUUCCCCAGUUCGGACUGGGGUCUGCAACCCGACCCCACGAAGCUGGAUUCGCUAGUAAUCGCGCAUCAGCCAUGGCGCGGUGAAUACGUUCCCGGGCCUU
rnacentral:rRNA from 1 species